GCUCACUUCGGUGCCCAUACACUAAAAUUGGAACAAUACAGAGAUUAGCAUGGCCCCUGAGCAAAGAUAACAUGCAGAAGAAAGAUGGUAUAUCAGACACAUUUAUUU